rnacentral:sRNA from 1 species
GAAUAAAUGUUAAUUGUUUAUAAAUAUAUAGACAUAUAAAUUAGUAUAUGUAAAUUUGUUUACUUUUUAAGAUUUUCUAUUUUUUUAAGAGAAUAAAAAGUUAAAUUUUGAAUGACACAUGUACACAUCUGAUCGUUUGACUUGACACGUGGCAUGAUCCUAUGAGUUAGUAAAUGAAUUAGUAUAUGUAAAUUUGUUUAUUUUUUCAGAUUUUCUAUUUUUUU